rnacentral:rRNA from 1 species
AUUAUUGGGCGUAAGGGCUCGCAGGCGGUUUCUUAAGUCUGAUGUGAAAGCCCCCGGCUCAACCGGGGAGGGUCAUUGGAAACUGGGGAACUUGAGUGCAGAAGAGGAGAGUGGAAUUCCACGUGUAGCGGUGAAAUGCGUAGAGAUGUGGAGGAACACCAGUGGCGAAGGCGACUCUCUGGUCUGUAACUGACGCUGAGGAGCGAAAGCGUGGGGAGCGAACAGGAUUAGAUACCCUGGUAGUCCACGCCGUAAACGAUGAGUGCUAAGUGUUAGGG